rnacentral:rRNA from 1 species
AUUGAACGCUGGCGGUAUGCUUAACACAUGCAAGUCGAACGGUAACAGGCCUUCGGGCGCUGACGAGUGGCGGACGGGUGAGUAAAGCGUAGGAAUCUGCCUCAUAGUGGGGGACAACGUGGGGAAACUCACGCUAAUACCGCAUACGCCCUACGGGGGAAAGCGGGGGAUAUUCGGACCCCGCGCUAUGAGAUGAGCGUGCGUUAGAUUAGCUAGUUGGUAGGGUAAAGGCCUACCAAGGCGACGAUCUAUAGCUGGUCUGAGAGGACGAUCAGCCACACUGGGACUGAGACACGGCCCAGACUCCUACGGGAGGCAGCAGUGGGGAAUAUUGGACAAUGGGCGCAAGCCUGAUCCAGCAAUACCGCGUGUGUGAAGAAGGCCCUAGGGUUGUAAAGCACUUUCAAUGGGGAGGAAAACCUGCCGGUCAAUACCCGGCAGCUUGACAUUACCUAUAGAAGAGGCACCGGCUAACUCCGUGCCAGCCGCCGCCGUAACAC